AGCUUUGCGCAGUGGCAGUACCGUAACCAAUGAGGUUUACCCGAGGUGCGGUUAUUGCUAGUUGAAAACUAUACCCAAUACCCCGCACAGGAUGCGUGAAAUACCGUAGCCUAGUGCAAUAUUUGAAGGCUCUUAUCACAGAG
rfam:Macrostomum lignano uti_cns_0009372, whole genome shotgun sequence.